CGCCACCAUUAGGCCAUAUAAGAUAUGCAAAUGAGUGGGAAGGGCUCGGCUUUCGGCAAGAUGCAAAUGGUGGUGGGGAGGGGGAAAAACCGAGAAAGUGGGAGAGCCUAAGGGACAGUCCAACGGAGCCAGAGACUUGGGCCGGGAUUGGGACUUGCCAGAGCCCAUUGUACUCACGCUGGGGGGCUCCAAAUCUUCUCUACCGAUUCUGUUUAUCAAUCAAACUUUAGGUGACCUUUGGACUUUAAAGCAAGUGGCUUGCGGCCUAGGCUGGGUGGGGGUGGGGGGGCCUUUCCACUGGCGACAGGUUCGGCUUUAGUCCAGAAAGAAGAAACUGCGCUUCUGGGUUUCAGCCACCCAUGUGAAUGAACAGGAAGCUGCACUUCGAGUCCAGGGAACAGCUUAUGAGAGUGCAGAGACAGAAGUGGGUACUAGAUCUCCUGGAAUAGGAGUUACAAACAGUUGUGAUCCACCUCGAAUCAAGCCAGAACUCCUGCAAGAGCAACUCGUGCUUUUAGCUGCUGAGGGAUUCUCUUGAAUUCCCGAAGAGUCUAUGUUUUUGUUUUUGACUUGAAACUCACUAUGUAGGCCAGGCUAGCCCUGAACUCCUGGGAUCCACCUGCAUCUAUUUCCCUCGUACUGGGAUUAAAGGUGAUUACAUCAGCAGGACUUGUAUAUAUUGUUCUGUGUGUGCAUAUUCCUGUACAUAAAUUAUACUUUAAUUAGGAGAAUAAUUUUUUUCCAAAGCUGUUUAUGGUGGCACUUUCGAGGUAGAAGCAGAAGAAUCAGAAGUUCAAGCCCAGUUUGGGAGAGUUCGAGGCUUGCUCUAUGAAACCCUGCCUCAAUCAACA
ensembl:lncRNA AABR07030147.1